GUGAGCGAUAAGACUUUGAAAUCAUGAGGUGAUCAAUAUGUAAAUUCCGUUUUUCCAAACUCUUAUCGCUCGCAAGAUAGUUGUCCAAUUGAAAAACUAAUUAGUUAACCGGACUCCUGAGAUCAUUUGCUACACACAGGCAGUUUGUUUGCCAAAAUUCAUGGACUAAAAAGGUAAUUAUUUUUCAGUCAACAAUCAUCAAAUUUAUGCGAUAAUGUCAAAAUCUUAAACUUUAAACUUUUAUACUCGAGUAUAAAAAAUUAAACCCGGGUCGGGAAUUGCCCUAAUAUAAAAAGUGUUGAAUGAGUUGAUA